CCUACGGGAGACAGCAGUGGGGAAUAUUGCGCAAUGGGCGAAAGCCUGACGCAGCGACGCCGCGUGAGGGAUGAAGGUCUUCGGAUCGUAAACCUCUGUCAGCAGGGAAGAACGGUCACUGUGCUAAUCAGCAGUGAAUUGACGGUACCUGCAAAGGAAGCACCGGCUAACUCCGUGCCAGCAGCCGCGGUAAUACGGAGGGUGCGAGCGUUAAUCGGAAUUACUGGGCGUAAAGCGCUCGUAGGCGGUAUGUCAAGUCAAGGGUGAAAUCUCCGGGCUCAACGUGGGAACUGCCUUUGAAACUGGCAAACUGGAGUGUGUGUGAGGAUAGUGGAAUGCCAGGUGUAGGAGUGAAAUCCGUAGAUAUCUGGCGGAACAUCAGUGGCGAAGGCGACUAUCUGGCACAUAACUGACGCUGAGGAGCGAAAGCGUGGGUAGCAAACAGGAUUAGAUACCCGAGUAGUC
rnacentral:rRNA from 1 species